rnacentral:rRNA from 1 species
GUUGAACGCUGGCGGCAUGCCUUACACAUGCAAGUCGAACGGUAACAGGUUAAGCUGACGCGUGGCGCACGGGCGAGUGAUGUAUCGGAACGUGACCAGUCGUGGGGGAUAACUGCACGAAAGAGCAGCUAAUACCGCAUCCGACCUGAGGGGGAAGGCGGGGGAUGGCAAGACCUCGCGCGAUUGGAGCGGCCGGUAGCGGGUGAGGUGGUUGGUGAGGUAAAGGCUCACCAAGCCGACGAUCUGUAGCUGGUCUGAGAGGACGACGAGCCACACUGGGACUGAGACACGGCCCAGACUCCUACGGGAGGCAGCGGUGGGGAAUGUUGGACAAUGGGCGCAAGCCUGAUCCAGCCAUGCCGCGUGCGGGAAGAAGGCCUUCGGGUUGUAAACCGCUUUUGUCAUUGAAGAAAAGGUUCUGGCUAAUCCCGGGGACUCUUGACGGUACCUGAAGAAUAAGCACCGGCUAACUACGUG